CUCACGGCCCCGGCCACGGCAGAGACGCUUCUGCGGGGAUCCUCCGCUGGCUCGGAAGGGUUGGGCUGCACUGCUCUCUCUCCCUGCAGCGGCGUUACAAGGGUCUCCUCCCGGCUUCACCGGGCUCCGGGUCCCCUGCCCAGCCCGGGGGGUUGCGGUACGACAGCUCCAGCUUGUGCCAUGUCUGCUCCCCCUGGGAACACCGGGUACCGGUGCUGGCACAUCAGGGGUGUGCAGUACCAGCUGAGGGGAACCACGAUGCCCCUGCAGCCGCCUCCAGCCCCGCUGUGCCAGAGAGUCAAACCCUUUGGCAAAGGGGAUGGAGCCAAACUCUGCUGAGAUUGCAACAUGGAGCACCAGCUCCAAGAGUUGAGCAGUUAUUUUGAGGCAGGGCAGGACAAAUCUGUAAGUUGUUCCUUUCCACGAGAGCUACUGGCACUGCACGGAACCCAAAGCACAGGUGGGAGAGCCCUGAGCCUGAGCAAGGUCAGAGCCCCCUGGGUUCCCAAAGGGUCAGAGCACAGAGACGCUCCAGGGCUGGUUGUUCAAGAAAUUUGAGCCUGUGAAGGGUCAGGAGGUUCCAGGGGCUCCAAAGAGGGGGUGCAGAGGAGGGGGCUGCCCUGCCGAGCCCUGCACUUCCGUUAGCACCGCUUUUCCCUCCCUCAAAGGCUUAUGUCAUGACAGUGCCUGGCCCCUGGUGAUUUAUUCCAGUCUUGGCACCGAGUCCAAAGGGCUGGAACCCAUCCCUCAAAUUCUGGGACCAGCUGCCUGGGAAGGCCUGUUCCUGGAGAAGCCAGGCUGUGUUUCAGGGACAUUGCUGCUGUACUGGGGCAGACAGACCAGGACACAACUCAGCCAUGUCCCCACACCUCCCACAGGACAGUCCCAGUGCUCCCAGCCCAGCAUCACUUCUGUUUCAUCCCCGUCUUGGGGUUUCCUGUGUGAAUUGGGAUCCAGGCUGGGAUGGGAGGAGGAGGAAAUCCAGGUUUGGUGGUUCUGGGAGGAGGCAGGUUUGGUGCUGGAUGGAUCCCUCUGUAUUUAUUUAUUUGUAUUUGUGUAACUACAAAUAAAGAGCUGGUAGGGGGUGGAUUCA
rnacentral:lncRNA from 1 species